UACAGAGGUCCCAAGCGUUGUUCGGAUUCACUGGGCGUAAAGGGUGCGUAGGUGGUGAGGUAAGUCGGAUGUGAAAUCUCCGGGCUCAACCCGGAAAUGGCAUUGGAAACUACCUUGCUGGAGGAUUUGAGGGGGGAUUGGAAUACUUGGUGUAGCAGUGAAAUGCGUAGAUAUCGGGAGGAACACCUGUGGCGAAGGCGGCCCCCUGGUUGGAUACUGACGCUGAGACGCGAAAGCGUGGGGAGCAAACAGG
rnacentral:rRNA from 1 species